GCUGGGUGCAAUGGCACACGCCUGUAAUCCCAGCAGCUCAGGAGGCUGAGGCAAGAGGAUCGCAAUUUCAAAGACAGCCUCAGGAAAAGCGAGGCACUAAGCAGCUCAGUGAGAUCCUGCCUCUA
rnacentral:sRNA from 1 species